AACUUCAACUCCCAUAAUUCUUCACAGUAAUGACGUCAUCAACACGCGACUGUUUUGCUUCCUCUGCGUCGCACACGGGGAAUUCAACGUGGUUGCAACAUAAACAUUUUUAUUUUCAGGAUAUUAACACUGAAGUGAAUUGCAAAGACUAUCAUUCCUUUUCAUUGUUUAUACCUAUUUUAUCUCAAGUUUAAGAUUGUGUUUUUGUAAGCAGACACAGAAAUGUUUCUGGAAGACGAGGACUGGAACGAUGACAAAGGAGACGCCCCGAGUCCAACUGUCACUUCACAAGAGACCAACAGUCCCAAAGUGAAGACCAAGUUGGUGGGGAAGAAGAGUCUGCUGCGCACCCUGCAGGCACUGGGCUCGGUGCCGGAGUGGAAGAGCGAGAGGCGAGAGAUGGGCAGUGACAGCGAGGCAGAAGCUCCAACAACAGAGCACACCAAGAAGAGGAGGAAGAAACGCAGGAGGAAGAGGAGACAUGAAGAGACAGCGGAGCAGGCGGAGACCACAGAGCUCGGCCAGGGAGACACACAGGACACUGUCCCGCCUAAGAGGAGCAAAAAGACAAGCUGGGUGAUAAAACCUUUUCAAUCUAUUGGUUACAGACACAUUCAUAUUAGUUUUACUUGGGUUUGGAUAAAAGAAGCCGGUUCGUAUUUAGGUAAAAGUUCAGCUCAGUUAAGCUCAGUAAAAGCUCAGUUUCAUCAAAGCAGUUAAUUUGAUAUUUAAUGAUUGUUGAUUGAUUGAAUUACUUUUUUCACAUAUGAAAAUAAUAAAGGGAUAAUUCAAUGAAAGAAACAACAGAAAAUAUGAUUCUAAAAGAAGUAGGUUGAAGUCAAGUCUUUAGAAAUCUACCUGCUUUACCAUAUAGUUGUAUGUAUAAGUUGUAUAAGUUAGUACUAGGGCUGGGAAUCGAUUAAAAAAAUUAAUGAAUGAAUUACUAAUUAAUCGCUUAUCUAAAUUUAAAUUAUGAAAUGCCUAAAAUUGCCAGACUAGAAUUGACUUUGGCAAUGAAAAGGAAAUAAUAUCUCUAAGCGUAAUGCUCCCCGACUAUGAGCCUUGCCUUGCUGUGCUGGUCCUCACCGAGGGUUACCAGUUCUAUGACAGUGAAAAGCAGAACACAUGAGCGCAAAAGUGAGGACACGUAUGCAACCUACAGGUGCUAUAUAUUUAAAUAAUGUUACAUCCAAUUAGAAUGAACAAAGCAUCAAUAUUGUUGCAUUAGGAAUAGAAAAUAUAAUUAGCUUAAAUAAGAAUUUACAUUUGAUCAACUUAUGACUGGACUACUGUGACUUCAAGCUCUUUUAACAUUAUGUGGUCACAUGGGCGUUGGGUGGAAACAGGUCUCUAUGGUAACGCUGAGGGGAGGGGCUGACUCACGCUCUCAUUUGGUCCAUGUGCUUUGUGAAGAACACAAACACACAGAGUGAAUGCGUGAUACCUGUCUCUACCCUCAUUGCGUGUGAGCAGCAGCUGUGCGGUCAGAGCGUGCUGAGCUGCCCCUGUAAGCAGCAGCUGACUGCGGGGCAGGCGGCUGGGUGCACACGCUCAGUCCGGCCAAAGCAAAAGCGCGAUUUGUGUGUGACAAGGUCCUACCGCUGUGGAGUUUACAGACUUCCUUCCGUCUGGUGAGAGUUUCAUUGAUAUCACUGAAACAGGCUUUCUCCCUCUGUCUCAGCGCAUGUUGUAAACAGGGAGACACGUGCCAGUCGUGGCGUUCACCUCAUGGAAAGAAACGUGACAGUCACGCACGAAUGACAGACACAGAGGCGCGCGAUAUAGCUCUAGUUUUGACUUGGUUUUGCUUUGCCGUGUCACUACAACCACUCGCCGCAGCGGGGAUCAUCAGGCCCGUCACUUUCAUGCAGCAGGAGGGAGUUUUCCCGCUUUGAUUCAUUUAUUUAACGCGUUAAUUGGAUAAUUUUAACGCAAUUCGUUAACAUGAUAAUUUUCCCGGCCCUAGUUAGUACUGAAUUAAACAUUCUGAAUUAAACAGUAUACAAAAAAAUUAUAUUGUUUGUCUGCAACAACACAAAACAACAUCCUAUAUCAUGUUUAUUCCAACUUCUGAACACACAAGUUCACGAUGUUAAGGUUGAAGUUAAUUUUGAAUAAUGAAAUGAAUAUAACGGCUAACGGUUGAGGUUUGUUUUGUCUGGUGUCAUCUAUAUAGACUUGCUAUUUAAUAAUCCAUGUUUUCAAUGAAUAACAUAUAUUUUUGUUUUCUUUUUUUCAAGAAAAGAAAGUAAAAUCUAAAACUCCGGACACAACAAAGGACCUAGAAACGGCAAACCCUGGAAAAGAGCCAGCAGAGGAUUCAACAAUAAAACUGAGCCGACAGAAGUGGAAAAACCGAAUGAAAAACAAGCGCAAGAGUAAGAAUAAGUUUCGACCAAAGAAGAAGCUUCUGAGCAGAGGGAGAGGAACGAGACCGAUCAGAACGACAACAUAACCAGUCAGAACGUUCAGGUGAAGGAAGCAGUCAAGAAUAAAGGCAAAAAAGACAAAACAAACUCGAGUGAAGAAUUGAAGCAAAGUAAGGUGAUUAAAGAAAGUUUGAAGAAAAACACUAUAGAAGACACAGAAUUUCGGGAACCAGCAAAAACCCAGAAGUCUGAACUGAACAAAAUUGCACAAUUGAAAAAGAGAAGCUCCGCAAAUUUCUACGAGUCCAGGAGACGCAGGCGGAGGUGGCUGAAUCAGUGGAGAAGGUCGAGCCUGAAAAGGAAGUGGCGACAGCGGACACCCCUGACGCGU
rnacentral:lncRNA from 1 species